ACAUGAGUAGACGAGAUCGUGCGAAAUAUUUGUAAGUAUGAUGCGUUCCGUUUCAUAAAUCAUAAAACUGUGAAGAGUGGGAAGAAGAUGAACAUGGCAUCAGCUAAAAAAUGUGGAACAAUGGUCACCAUCGAGGGAAUAAUUAUGUCAACACAUGUGCACGUCUACUUUCAUUGAAAAUUGAACUUAAGACAUGAUUCCUUUGCCAACUUUUCAAUUUUGGGCCCUACUUCCCUCUUGUGAGCCUUCAGCAUGGACUCUCCAAGUGAUGGUACAUUUAUAGAUGACAAAAACUCAUCUACAUGGGUAAGACCUAUGCCUGCAUGUAGUAUCCUUAUAAAUAUGUCGAUUCAACGUAUUAAAAAAAUUGGCUGGCUGUUAAAUGGAUGCUUUAGUUGGGGAAAACAAUAUUUUUAGCAACAUUAAAUGGAAACAAACCUGCUCCAAGCUCCACAUUUACAUCAAAGAUUGAUCUCCCUCAUGUUGUUCCAGUGCUACGAUGGGUCUUAAUUGUUCGAAAGAUAUUUGUCUUUCCACACGUGGAGUUUGAACAGCAUUUGUAGAGUAGUGAUCCUAGCC